GUCCCCCGCCGGCCGGCUCCGCCCCUGCCCUGCCCCCCGACGCCAUUGGCCAAGUCCCGCCUGCCCCUGUCCGGACGCGCGGUGGACGCAGGGGUGGGGAAGCCGCACCCUCCGGGCUCCAGGAGGGCCAAUGAACCGACAAUCGGAGCACUGGGGACGGAAUGAAGAGAACGUUUGGAAAGGGACUGUGGGGGGAGACGUGCCAAAGAGAGAAAGGGGUGGGGUAGGGCGGCUGACGCCCGGUUUAGGCGGAGAGCGCCGGGCAGAGGGGGAGGAGGGCGAAGCCGGUGGCGAAGCGGCCAAGGAGAACCGGGGCUGGAGGAGCCCAGGACUCCGGGAGGGCGGCAAGGGUACCCAGAAAAUGCCCUUUCCGCGUGGGGCUGCAGCCAAGGAGGAUUCCCGCUCGUGGAAUAGCUACUAAAUCAGCCUCCAGCCCACCCCAGGGCGGGGUAGAGAAAGGGCAAACUGUGACCGGGAUUCGUGCACCCGAUUAAUUGAAUAUUAAUCACCCUAAGGCCUAGGCCAACCGCCACCCAGACAGUGGCAGCUGCAGAACCCAAAGCCGUGGAGCCGGGCUGGGGGUGGGGAAGGGAGGCCGCCACAGCUCCCGCCCCGCCGGCAGUUUAACUGCUUCCGCAGCCUCAGGCCUCCCGGUGAGACCCUGGCUGCGACUCGGAUCCGUUUAUUCCAAAUGUCCCAGCCCACGCCGUGCCCAGGGUGUGGCGACACGAGGCCAAAUUGCGUAUCUGUGUCCAUGUCUACACACACACGCAUGUGUGCAUUUCUAGGGCUUGCUGGAACGCAGGUGCACAGAAUAAACGCGGUGCCUGCCUGUAGAGUGCGUUUAAAAUCAUUCUCUGCUGAAAUAUGUGCGGGUACCUAGGGAGUGGGGUAAGAGAGGGACUCGUGGCGGGGGGCGGGUAAGUGCCUUUUUCACAACCUGCCCCAGAGAAAUACACGAAAUUACAUCGAGAGUGGAAUCGAGCGUCCCUCUCAGCUAAAAAUACUACUCACAGGUAGCAACGACGCCUGAUUGGCCGCGCUGGUCCCUUCGCAACCAAGCGAUUGGCUGCCUGGUAUCCAGGAGACCGACGUCAAACUCCGACUGGGAAAAGGGGAAAGUUGGCGGGGAACGAAGGAGGGGAUGGGGAGAAAGAAGCAAUGAAUGAAACGCCCAUCGCCUGGCCUUCCCCUUUCCCCUUUCCCCUUUCCUCUCCAUUCUUGGAGCACUUCCUGGGAAAACACCCGUUGGGGCGCCGCCUUCCCCUCCAAACGGGGCCUGCACUCUCAACCUGCUAUAAGGAAGUUAAACCGCAGCUCACCGAGGAGUAGAGUGUCUACGGUGCGGGCCCGUGUAGACCAGCUGUGCUCCUCGGGCACAAACCCGCUGUACAUGUCAGGCCUAGAAGCUUUCGGCUUUAUGGACGCAAAAUCUGGUUGGAGCCGCCUUCUCCACCCUGACUCUCGCGCCUCUCCCUUUUAGAAGGAACCGCAUUGAGAAAGGUGUUUGGGUUUUUUAGUUGCAAACAAGAGUGGAAUUGAACUGUGAAAGUAUGGCAAAACUGUGAAAGCAUUUAAAUGAAAAUGUCCCUUCCUCUGCAUUGAAAUGUCAUCAAAACGUCAAAUAUAAAUGAUUUGUUCAGUUUUAUUAUUUGUUUGUUUUUGGUUUUCUGUAAUGACAAUUCCAUCUGUAAUAAAAGUGAGUUAAAUUUUCUAAUUAAGCACAGAAAUUUCAAGAAACUAGAUAGGAUAUUCUUGGAAUGCCUUAUCAAAAGAAACACUUAAUUUUUCACGUGUUCUAGAAGCACAACUUCUCUUACCGUUAGGCAAAUAAUGGUACUAUACUAAACAUCUAGAAUUGCGGGACCAUGUGUGUUGAUUAGUAAUUUUAUAUUUGGGGGCUGCAAUAUUAGGCGUGGCUGAGAUUAAAAUGUCUAAAGAUACAUGAAUUGUAA